rnacentral:rRNA from 1 species
UAGGGAAUCUUCCACAAUGGACGCAAGUCUGAUGGAGCAUCGCCGCGUGAGUGAAGAAGGUCUUCGGAUCGUAAACUCUGUUGUUAGAGAAGAACACGAGUGAGAGUAACUGUUCAUUCGAUGACGGUAUCUAACCAGCAAGUCACGGCUAACUACGUGCCAG